rnacentral:rRNA from 1 species
GACGAACGCUGGCGGCGUGCUUAACACAUGCAAGUCGAACGGUAAGGCCCUUCGGGGUACACGAGUGGCGAACGGGUGAGUAACACGUGGGUGAUUUGCCCUGCACUUCGGGAUAAGCCUGGGAAACUGGGUCUAAUACCGGAUAGGACUCCGGACUGCAUGGUCUGGGGUGGAAAGCUUUUGCGGUGUGGGAUGGGCCCGCGGCCUAUCAGCUUGUUGGUGGGGUGAUGGCCUACCAAGGCGACGACGGGUAGCCGGCCUGAGAGGGUGACCGGCCACACUGGGACUGAGAUACAGCCCAGACUCCUACGGGAGGCAGCAGUGGGGAAUAUUGCACAAUGGGCGCAAGCCUGAUGCAGCGACGCCGCGUGAGGGAUGACGGCCUUCGGGUUGUAAACCUCUUUCAGCAUCGACGAAGCGAAAGUGACGGUAGGUGCAGAAGAAGGACCGGCCAACUACGUGCCAGCAGCCGCAGUAAUAC